CAGCCGCCGCGGUAAUACGUAGGUCCCGAGCGUUGUCCGGAUUUAUUGGGCGUAAAGCGAGCGCAGGCGGUUAGAUAAGUCUGAAGUUAAAGGCUGUGGCUUAACCAUAGUACGCUUUGGAAACUGUUUAACUUGAGUGCAAGAGGGGAGAGUGGAAUUCCAUGUGUAGCGGUGAAAUGCGUAGAUAUAUGGAGGAACACCGGUGGCGAAAGCGACUCUCUGGCUUGUAACUGACGCUGAGGCUCGAAAGCGUGGGGAGCAAACAGGAUUAGAUACCCCCGUAGUCCCUGUCUCUUAUACA
rnacentral:rRNA from 1 species